rnacentral:rRNA from 1 species
GAUUUCUGGUCUGACAUGCCUGGCCCGCCGGGGUCACCCGUGUGAGUGCCGGUGCGCGUCUACCAUCCUUCUGGAAAACGGCCUUACCCUUCACUGGGCCGAGGUCGCGAUCCAGAUCUUUUACUUUGAAAAAAUUAGAGUGUUUAAAGCAGGCUUACGCUAUGAAUACAUUAGCAUGGAAUAAUAAUAUAGGACUUUGGUUCUAUUUUGUUGGUUUCUAGGACUGAAGUAAUGAUUGAUAGGGAUAGUUGGGGGUGCUAGUAUUCAGUGGCCAGAGGUGAAAUUCUUGGAUUCACUGAAGACUAACUACUGCGAAAGCAUU